AUUGAACGCUGGCGGCAGGCUUAACACAUGCAAGUCGAGCGAGCGGCGGACGGGUGAGUAAUGUCUGGGAAACUGCCUGCUGGAGGGGGAUAACUACUGGAAACGGUAGCUAAUACCGCAUACCAUCAGAUGUGCCCAGAUGGGAUUAGCUAGUAGGUGGGGUGAUGGCUCACCUAGGCGACGAUCCCUAGCUGGUCUGAGAGGAUGACCAGCCACACUGGAACUGAUACACGUACAAGCCUCCUACGGUAGGCAGCAGUAGGGAAUAUUGCACAAUGGGCGCAAGCCUGAUGCAGCCAUGCCGCGUGUGUGAAGAAGGCCUUCGGGUUGUAAAGCACUUGCAGCGAUGAGGCGUUACUCGCAGAAGAAGCACCGGCUAACUCCGUGCCAGCAGCCGCGGUAAUAC
rnacentral:rRNA from 1 species